AACAGAGGAGGAGAGAUGUUUUAUGUCUAGUUUACAGGAAGUGACUAGAGCAAAAAUUAAAUAGAGGAUCAAAUACACUAACCAGUGGAUUCAGAAAACUCGUCUCAUUGGAGGGAUUCGGCUCACUGUCCACAACGAGACUGUUUGGCUCAGGGGGUAGAGAGGUAAAGCUGGUUUCCUGGGGUGGCUACGGAAAAUUGGUGCAGAAGGUUCACAGUUAUCCUGAAAACCAUACACAAAGUUAAAUAUUCCCCAAAAUAUAUUGUGGGAGUUAACAUCCUCCUGUUAGACCUUGAUACACAUGUUGGUUUGUUGUAGUAGUAUUUACACCAUCGGCUGUCCUGGCAUAGGAACAGAGCCGUCUAGUUUGGGGGUCUCAGUCUUGCAGCAACACUUCUUCACACAGCAGCAUGCAGCCACCUCAGCAAUGAUGACAAUGAACACAGUAACCGAAAGACCUAGAGUACUACGUGCUGAGAGAGACAUUCACACGCAUUGCAUUAGCGAGUGAUAUAAUAAAAAUAAUGUUAAAUUAUUUGGGGUGAGGGGAAAUGACAAACAAGAUAAAAGUGAAAGUUGUAGGCAGAAUCUUCCCUCAGCUGUGACAUUAAGCAUCGUUGUAGAUAUCAACCUCCUGUCAGUGCCUUGGAGGGCAUAGUGGCCCGAGUGUGCCUGGGUGAGAUCCCUUAACACCCACAUUCUACCCUCCAGACUCCCCCCUCCCCAUUGAAGGUCCCUAGGUUUGUGCGGUUCCACUGGACCACCGGCUGAGAGGUAGAGCCCCAGGCAGUAAAGUCCUGCAGGGCGUACUUCUCCCCAUAAUUACGGCAGACCCUAUCAGAGCAAGCAGAGACAGGACAGAGGGUGGUGCUGGGGGUGAUAGUAGUUUUGAGAGCAGAGACAAAAAAAGACAGGAGAGAGGGUGGUGAUAGUAGUUAUGAGAGCAGAGACAGGAGAGAGGGUGGUGAUAGUAGUUAUGAGAGCAGAGACAGGAGAGAGGGUGGUGAUAGUAGUUAUGAGAGCAGAGACAGGAGAGAGGGUGGUGAUAGUAGUUAUGAGAGCAGAGACAGGAGAGAGGGG
rnacentral:lncRNA from 1 species